CUGGCACAGAUGGGGAAUGGGUCACCCACACGCUGUACUGGUGAGACUGGCACAGAUGGGGAAUGGGUCACACACACGCUGUACUGGUGAGACUGGCACAGAUGGGGAAUGGGUCAGACACACGCUGUACUGGUGAGACUGGCACAGAUGGGGAAUGGGUCACACACACGCUGUACUGGUGAGACUGGCACAGAUGGGGAAUGGGUCACACACACGCUGUACUGGUGAGACUGGGACAGAUGGGGAAUGGGUCACACACACGCUGUACUGGUGAGACUGGGACAGAUGGGGAAUGGGUCACCCACACGCUGUACUGGUGAGACUGGGACAGAUGGGGAAUGGGUCACACACACGCUGUACUGGUGAGACUGGGGCAGAUGGGGAAUGGGUCACCCAUACACUGCACUGGUGAGACUGGGACAGAUGGGGAAUGGGUCACCCAUACGCUGUACUGGUGAGACUGGCACAGAUGGGGAAUGGGUCACCCACACACUGCACUGGUGAGACUGGCACAGAUGGGGAAUGGGUCACCCAUACGCUGUACUGGUGAGACUGGCACAGAUGGGGAAUGGGUCACCCAUACACUGUACUGGUGAGACUGGCACAGAUGGGGAAUGGGUCACCCACACGCUGUACUGGUGAGACUGGCACAGAUGGGGAAUGGGUCACACACACGCUGUACUGGUGAGACUGGGACAGAUGGGGAAUGGGUCACACACACGCUGUACUGGUGAGACUGGGACAGAUGGGGAAUGGGUCACCCACACGCUGUACUGGAGAGACUGGGACAGAUGGGGAAUGGGUCACACACACGCUGUACUGGUGAGACUGGGGCAGAUGGGGAAUGGGUCACCCAUACACUGCACUGGUGAGACUGGGACAGAUGGGGAAUGGGUCACCCAUACGCUGUACUGGUGAGACUGGCACAGAUGGGGAAUGGGUCACCCACACACUGCACUGGUGAGACUGGCACAGAUGGGGAAUGGGUCACCCAUACGCUGUACUGGUGAGACUGGCACAGAUGGGGAAUGGGUCACCCAUACACUGUACUGGUGAGACUGGCACAGAUGGGGAAUGGGUCACCCACACGCUGUACUGGUGAGACUGGCACAGAUGGGGAAUGGGUCACACACACGCUGUACUGGAGAGACUGGGACAGAUGGGGAAUGGGUCACACACACGCUGUACUGGUGAGACGGGCACAGAUGGGGAAUGGGUCACCCACACGCUGUACUGGUGAGACUGGCACAGAUGGGGAAUGGGUCACCCACACGCUGUACUGGUGAGACUGGGACAGAUGGGGAAUGGGUCACACACACGCUGUACUGGUGAGACUGGGGGAGAUGGGGAAUGAGUCACCCAUGCACUGGACUGGUGAGACUGGGACAGAUGGGGAAUGGGUCACACACAUGCUGUACUGGUGAGACUGGGACAGAUGGGGAAUGGGUCACACACAUGCUGUACUGGUGAGACUGGGGCAGAUGGGCAAUGGGUCGUUCACACAGAGUACUGCUGAAGGGAGGACUGAGCGUAGAGCACAUGGUGUAGAUGCUGAUGCUGGUGGAUUGGCUUAGAGUACAUGGUGUAGGUGAUGAUGCUGGUGGAUUGGUUGAGAGCACAUGGUGUAGGUGAUGAUGCUGGUGGAUUGGUUGAGAGCACAUGGUGUAGAUGAUGAUGCUGGUGGAUUGGUUGAGAGAACAUGGUGUAGGUGAUGAUGCUGGUGGAUUGGCUGAGAGCACAUGGUGUAGAUGAUGAUGCUGAUGGAUUGGCUCAGAGCACAUAGUGUAGAUGAUGAUGCUGGUGGAUUGGUUGAGAGCACAUGGUGUAGAUGAUGAUGCUGAUGGAUUGGCUCAGAGCAGGGCAAACAGAGGGGAGGAACACACAUUUUAUGCGUAUAUCAUGGUUUUAUGUUUUAUGUAUCGCUAUAUUUAUGAAGAUUCCUGGAGCUUGUGAUGCAAGACAAAUUUUUGUGAAAACGGACAAUAAAGUUUUAUCUUAUCUUAUCUUAUUUCACCUGCUGUCCAUUUCUGCAGCUGACUGUGAGAAAGAGAUCUAACAGCAGACUCUUUAGAUUAGCAUUAUAGGGCGACAUUAGCAUAAAGGGGCGAUAUAGCUCAGGAGGUGAGAGCGGUUGUCUGGCAGUUGGAGGGUUGCCGGUUCGAUCCCCCGACCCCGGGCGUGUUGAAGUGUCCCUGGGCAAGACACCUAACCCCUAAUUGCUCCCAACGAGCUGAUUGGUACCUUGCAUGGCAGCCUUUCACUGUUGGUGUGUGUGUGAAUGGGUGAAUGAGAGGCAUCAAUUGUAAAGCGCUUUGGAUAAAAGCGCUAUAUAAAUGCAGUCCAUUUACCAUUACACGCACUGAUUAUAAACAGGCCUUCUGCGCCUUAGUCAUACCACACUUUUAUAUUCCUGAUGCUAAAAUGAGUGUGCUCCACUUCUGUAAACUGCACUGGGUAAGAGCAUCUGCUUAUAAUGUAAACAUAAUGUAAUGU